rnacentral:lncRNA from 1 species
UCCCCUUUUGGGGGGAGAAGUUCUCAGCAGCCCCCAUUUCCCUGUUAACCUGGUGUCGCCUCUUUUCUUUUGCAGACCAAAGACAAAUAGCAAAGUAAAUCCAGAAAGGCCUGAGCGGCCCAAGGGGAAAAACAGCAUUGGACACAAAAACAAAAAGAAGAGACCCCCUGAACAGGACUCCCCUCACCUGUCCUCCUGCCCGCCCUGCUUGGACAAACGGAAGCGCCAGGAUCCUCAGACAUGCCAGUGCCGCUGCCGGCGCAGGUCCCAGCACUGCCGGGACCGGGGCUUGGAGCUCAAUGAGCACUCGUGCAGGUGUGAGAAGCUGCGCAGAUGAUCUGACGGGGGAGGGGGGUGACGUGAGACCAGCCUCUCCCGCCCCCAAGCCCAGCUCUUCGCUGGAACCAGGACAAGACUCUGGCCCUGAGCUCCCCCUGCUGGAGAGGAGCCCAAGGAAGAUGAGCAACGCUGUCCAGGAAUGGACCUG